CCUACGAGAGGCAGCCGUGAGGAAUAUUGGUCAAUGGUCGGGCGACUGAACCAGCCAAGCCGCGUGAGGGAUGAAGGUACAGAGUAUCGUAAACCUCUUUUGUCAGGGAACAACGGCGGGGACGUGUCCCCGGAUGCGUGUACCUGAAGAAAAAGCAUCGGCUAACUCCGUGCCAGCAGCCGCGGUAAUACGGAGGCUGCGAGCGUUAUCCGGAUUUAUUGGGUUUAAGGGGUGCGUAGGCGGUCCGUUACGUCAGCGGUAAAAGCACGGGGCUAAACCCCGUACCGCCGUUGAAACUGGCAGGCUCGAGUUGGAGAGAAGUAUGCGGAAUGAGCGGUGUAGCGGUGAAAUGCAUAGAUAUCACGCAGAACUCCGAUUGCGAAGGCAGCAUACCGGCGCUCAACUGACGCUGAGGCACGAAAGCGUGGGGAUCGAACAGGAUUAGAUACCCGUGUAGUC
rnacentral:rRNA from 1 species